ACGCUUGAAGUCAGUCGCGUUGGCCGGAAAUCAGCCUUGCUUUUGCUGGGUGUACUUUCUGGUUGACGGGCCAGCAUCAGUUUUGACCGGUGGAAAAAGUCUAGAGGAAUGUGGCAUCUUCGGAUGUGUUAUAGCCUUUGGUCGUAUACAUCGGUUGGGACUGAGGAACUCAGCACGCCGAAAGGCCGGGUCUUUGACCACGUUCGUGCUUAGGAUGCUGGCAUAAUGGCUUUAAUCGACCCGUCUUGAAACACGGACCAAGGAGUC
rnacentral:rRNA from 1 species